rnacentral:rRNA from 1 species
UGGGGAAUUUUGGACAAUGGGCGAAAGCCUGAUCCAGCAAUGCCGCGUGUGUGAAGAAGGCCUUCGGGUUGUAAAGCACUUUUGUCCGGAAAGAAAUCCUUGGCUCUAAUACAGUCGGGGGAUGACGGUACCGGAAGAAUAAGCACCGGCUAACUACGUGCCAGCAGUCGCGGUAAUACGUAGGGUGCAAGCGUUAAUCGGAAUUACUGGGCGUAAAGCGUGCGCAGGCGGUUUGCUAAGACCGAUGUGAAAUCCCCGGGCUCAACCUGGGAACUGCAUUGGUGACUGGCAGGCUAGAGUAUGGCAGAGGGGGGUAGAAUUCCACGUGUAGCAGUGAAAUGCGUAGAGAUGUGGAGGAAUACCGAUGGCGAAGGCAGCCCCCCUGGGCCAAUACUGACGCUCAUGCACGAAAGCGUGGGGAGCAAACAGGAUUAGAUACCCUGGUAGUCCACGCCCUAAACGAUGUCAACUAGUUGUUGGGGAUUCAUUUCCUUAGUAACGUAGCUAACGCGUGAAGUUGACCGCCUGGGGAGUACGGUCGCAAGAUUAAAACUCAAAGGAAUUGACGGGGUCAUAGCUGUUUCCU